ensembl:lncRNA
GAGUUUGGUACGGUAAAACCCGAGAGUCCCCAAGCCGCUUUUACAGAAACAACAAUCUCUCUCACGGAGUGGGCGGCAAGUGAAAUGAAAGGUGACAGAGUAUUCAUUUCAGAUGCUUUUUUUUUUUCUCUCUUGAAGCUCUCACUAAAAGGUUGGUGAAUGAUGAGCGCUUACCAGAUUUCCUGAAGGGAGGUAAUUUUCAAUUUUCUCCACGUGCAGUUCAGAAUUUUCUGCUGAGGGAUCGUUUUUUCCCAUAAUAAUAGAUUCCAAGAUAGAUGGUUUCUGUGUUUCACUAAGAGCUUGUGAGUGAGAAGAUAAGUGAUUCUCUAAUAGAGGGAAUGAAGGCGAUAUACGAUUAGUUGUUUGAAAAAAGAGAGCGAAAGAAAGAUUUUCAUAUAUCUCCAUCCAUCUAUUUUCUAUACCGCUUAUACUUCCUUCAGGGUCACGGGGGAACCUGGAGCCUAUCCCAGGGAGCAUCGGGCACAAGGCGGGGUACACCAUGGACAGCGUGCCAAUCCGUCGCAGGGCUUUUCAUAUAUCUGGUUCACAAUAUGGUUUUCUAAAAUGACCCGUGGGAGAACUGGAGCUGCUGGGUGUGUUCUGUAUACCAAACGUAAUUAUAUAGCGAGCAUAAUUUAAGUCUUAACUACAUUCUAAGCUAAAGGGUGUGUGGUCCAUUGGGUGCUGCACACCUCAGCAUCGGAGCUAUUAUUAUAAUAUUAAACCUAACGGCGCAUCUGACAGCAUAUGAAGUCAUCUACAGCCUGCAGCUGUGAUGAGCAUCUCAUCAGGUGCUUUAAAGCCAUCUGUUAAUUUACGUGGAUGCUAAGCUCGUAAAAUGGCCG